rnacentral:misc_RNA from 1 species
AACGCACAUUGCGCCCUCUGGUAUUCCGGAGGGCAUGCCUGUCCGAGCGUCAUUGCUGCCCUCAAGCCCGGCUUGUGUGUUGGGCCCCGUCCCCCCCGCCGGGGGGACGGGCCCGAAAGGCAGCGGCGGCACCGCGUCCGGUCCUCGAGCGUAUGGGGCUUCGUCACCCGCUCUAGUAGGCCCGGCCGGCGCCAGCCGACCCCCAACCUUUAAUUAUCUCAGGUUGACCUCGGAUCAGGUAGGGAUACCCGCUGAACUUAA